rnacentral:rRNA from 1 species
UACGAAGGGGGCUAGCGUUGCUCGGAAUUACUGGGCGUAAAGGGCGCGUAGGCGGAUGAUUAAGUUGGGGGUGAAAGCCCGGGGCUCAACCUCGGAACUGCCUUCAAAACUGGUCAUCUUGAGUUCGGGAGAGGUGUGUGGAACUCCGAGUGUAGAGGUGAAAUUCGUAGAUAUUCGGAAGAACACCAGUGGCGAAGGCGACACACUGGCCCGAUACUGACGCUGAGGCGCGAAAGCGUGGGGAG